rnacentral:rRNA from 1 species
ACGGCUCAAUAACACGUAGUCAACAUGCCCAAAGGACGUGGAUAACCUCGGGAAACUGAGGAUAAACCGCGAUAGGCCAAGGUUUCUGGAAUGAGCCAUGGCCGAAAUCUAUAUGGCCUUUGGAUUGGACUGCGGCCGAUCAGGCUGUUGGUGAGGUAAUGGCCCACCAAACCUGUAACCGGUACGGGCUUUGAGAGAAGGAGCCCGGAGAUGGGCACUGAGACAAGGGCCCAGGCCCUAUGGGGCGCAGCAGGCGCGAAACCUCUGCAAUAGGCGAAAGCCUGACAGGGUUACUCUGAGUGAUGCCCGCUAAGGGUAUCUUUUGGCACCUCUAAAAAUGGUGUAGAAUAAGGGGUGGGCAAGUCUGGUGUCAGCCGCCGCGGUAAUACCAGCACCCCGAGUGGUUGGGACGAUUAUUGGGCCUAAAGCAUCCGUAGCCGGUUCUGCAAGUCCUCCGUUAAAUCCACCUGCUCAACAGAUGGGCUGCGGAGGAUACUAUAGAGCUAGGAGGCGGGAGAGGCAAACGGUACUCAGUGGGUAGGGGUAAAAUCCAUUGAUCCACUGAAGACCACCAGUGGCGAAGGCGGUUUGCCAGAACGCGCUCGACGGUGAGGGAUGAAAGCUGGGGGAGCAAACCGGAUUAGAUACCCGGGUAGUCCCAGCUGUAAACGAUGCAGACUCGGUGAUGGGUUGGCUUCGGGCCAAU